AACUUUCAACAACGGAUCUCUUGGCUCUCGCACCGAUGAAGAACGCAGCGAAAUGCGAUACGUAAUGUGAAUUGCAGAAUUCAGUGAAUCAUCGAAUCUUUGAACGCA
rnacentral:rRNA from 1 species